GAGUGGUUGGUGGGUAAGUAUUCGGACUUUUAAUCCGUUGGUCGCGUGUUCGAGUCACGCACGACCCACCA
rnacentral:tRNA from 1 species